rnacentral:rRNA from 1 species
UACCAGCUCUCCGAGUUGUAGGGACGAUUAUUGGGCUUAAAGCGUCCGUAGCCGGCUUAGCAAGUCUCCUGUUAAAUUCAGCGACCCAAUCGUUGAGCCGCGGGAGAUACUACUAGGCUAGGAGGCGGGAGAGGUCGACGGUACUUUCGGGGUAGGGGUGAAAUCCUAUAAUCCCGGGAGGACCACCAGUGGCGAAGGCUGUCGACUAGAACGCGCUCGACGGUGAGGGACGAAAGCUGGGGGAGCGAACCGGAUUAGAUACCCGGGUAGUCCCAGCUGUAAACGAUGCGGGCUAGGUGUUGGGGUGGCUACGGGCCACUUCAGUGCCGCAGGAAAGCCAUUAAGCCCGCCGCCUGGGGAGUACGGCCGCAAGGCUGAAACUUAAGGAAUUGGCGGGGAGCACCACAAGGCGUGAAGCUUGCGGUUC